rnacentral:rRNA from 1 species
AGUGAACGCUGGCGGUAGGCCUAACACAUGCAAGUCGAACGGCAGCACAGUAAGAGCUUGCUCUUACGGGUGGCGAGUGGCGGACGGGUGAGGAAUACAUCGGAAUCUACUUUUUCGUGGGGGAUAACGUAGGGAAACUUACGCUAAUACCGCAUACGACCUACGGGUGAAAGCAGGGGAUCUUCGGACCUUGCGCGAUUAAAUGAGCCGAUGUCGGAUUAGCUAGUUGGCGGGGUAAAGGCCCACCAAGGCGACGAUCCGUAGCUGGUCUGAGAGGAUGAUCACCCACACGGGAAGGGAGACAGGGCCCAGACUCCGGGGGGAGGCGGCAGGGGGGAAUAUUGGAGAAGGGGCGCAAGUCUGAUCCACCAUUACGGGGGGGGGAAAGAAGGCUUUGGGUUGUAAAGCCCUUUUUGUGGGGAAGAAAAAGCAGCGGUUUAAUCCCCCGCUUUUCGGAGGUUACCAAAAAAAAAACCACCGGCUAAUUUCGUG